rnacentral:rRNA from 1 species
CCAGACUCCUACGGGAGGCAGCAGUGGGGAAUAUUGGGCAAUGGGCGCAAGCCUGACCCAGCAACGCCGCGUGAAGGAAGAAGGCUUUCGGGUUGUAAACUUCUUUUGUCAGGGACGAAGCAAGUGACGGUACCUGACGAAUAAGCCACGGCUAACUACGUGCCAGCAGCCGCGGUAAUACGUAGGUGGCAAGCGUUAUCCGGAUUUAUUGGGUGUAAAGGGCGUGUAGGCGGGAAUGCAAGUCAGAUGUGAAAACUAUGGGCUCAACCCAUAGCCUGCAUUUGAAACUGUAUUUCUUGAGUGCUGGAGAGGCAAUCGGAAUUCCGUGUGUAGCGGUGAAAUGCGUAGAUAUACGGAGGAACACCAGUGGCGAAGGCGGCUUGCUGACAUUAACUGACGCUGAGGCGCGAAAGCGUGGGGAGCAAACAGGAUUAGAUACCCGAGUACU